rnacentral:rRNA from 1 species
GAUGAACGCUGGCGGCAUGCCUAACACAUGCGAGUCGAUCGGUAAGGCUCUUCGGAGUACACGAGAGGCGGACGGCUGAGUAACGCGUAGGAACACACCCUGCAGUGAGGGAUAAGACACCGAAAGGUGUUCUAAUACCGCAUACGGUCUUCGGAUUAAAGCAUUUAUGCGCUGAAGGAGUGGCCUGCGUCAUAUUAGAUAGUUGGUGAGGUAAUGGCUCACCAAGCCGAUGAUGUGUAGCUGGUCUGAGAGGAUGAUCAGCCAGACUGGAACUGAGACACGGUCCAGACUCCUACGGGAGGCAGCAGUGAGGAAUAUUUCACAAUGAGCGAAAGCUUGAUGGAGCAAUGCCGCGUGCAGGAUGAAGGCCCUCGGGUUGUAAACUGCUUUUAUAAGAGAAGAUUAUGACGGUAACUUAUGAAUAAGGGACGGCUAACUACGUG